rnacentral:rRNA from 1 species
CCUACGGGUGGCAGCAGUGGGGAAUAUUGCACAAUGGGGGAAACCCUGAUGCAGCGACGCCGCGUGAGGGAAGAAGUAAUUCGUUACGUAAAGCUCUAUCAGCAGGGAAGAAAAUGACGGUACCUGAGUAAGAAGCCCCGGCUAACUACGUGCCAGCAGCCGCCGGAAUACUGAGGGGGCAAGCGUUAUCCGGUUUUACUGGGUGUAAAGGGAGCGUUGACGGGGUGCCAAGUCUGGCGGGAAAGGCAGCAGCUUAACUGCGGAACUGCUUUGGAAACUGGCGAACUAGAGUGCGGGAGGGGUAAGCGGAAUGCCUGGUGUAGCGGUGAAAUGCGUAGAUAUUAGGAGGAACACCGGUGGCGAAGGCGGCUUACUGGACCGUAACUGACGUUGAGGCUCGAAAGCGUGGGGAGCGAACAGGAUUAGAUACCCGUGUAGUC